rnacentral:lncRNA from 1 species
AAUACUUCUUGACAGAUUUCCUCUGUCUACCUCUCUCUCCUGCUCAGAAGCCCAAGUGUCUCCCUAUUAUUUCAGGGUAAAAGUCUUACCAGAGGCUCCAAGAAUCUGUACCAUGUGCAAUAGCCACACUCUUGUAAAACCAUCAGCAUAUUGAUGAAUUAGGGGUAUGUCUAGCCCAAGCUUAUGAAGACUUCCCCUGGUGGAAUGGGUGAAUGAGGACAAAAUAUCCAAAGAACAUAAAAAUGGCAAGUGAUAAGAACAUCUUGGUGUUUUGAGGAUGACCACAUGAGGUAAUGUAUGCAAAGCAUCAUAUAAAUGUCUGUUAAUUUAUAUAAAUAUGCGUGGAUAGAUUAGA